GUUUUCCCCCUAGGAAUUAAGCAUAUUAGUAAGCAGAGGAACCCCAUCAAACUUGGAUUUUGUAAGUAGUUGCGAAUGAACACAAAUUUGAUCACUUUGGCAAUCUGUACACAUUGCUGUGUAACAAUUUGUAUACGUUGGCACAGUGCUAUCAAAGCUGCAUGCAAGUGUUUUUUGAAAGGAUACAACAUGGGAUGUGAUAUUCAUGUGUGUGUGCCUGCUUUGUCCACAGCCUGUGCUGUAUGAAUCACAUUUCUUGCAACUGAAAUGCUAAUGGCAUGGUAAAGUUCAUGUGACAUGACACAAGCUUGAGAUUCAUGAUGUGCAAGUACCAUGAGGGAAAUGUGAAAAGGACUUUGGAAAGAGAAUUAAAUAAAGCCUGCAUUUGCUGACAAUGAAAGCAAGUGUGGAUGUUCAUGUAAUUGUUACUGCAUCAAUCAAUGUUCAUCUUGGUUACUGCAUGCUUUAUAUUACAGCUCAGAACAUGAAGUGUGUGUAACAGCUCUGCUUUGAUUUUUCCCACAUGGGAUCAGUUGAAACAUUGUGAGAGCACUCUUCAGUUUCCUUAUGUACCCACCAGCUUUGUCCACUCGCGUGUUGGCACACAUGUAAUGAUGAUGUGUUUAUGCAAGAUACUUCUGUGCUCAACAACAUGUUGUGUCAAUCCUCACUUGACCCGUCUUGAACCGGAAACCAAGGGGAAAAAAGUUCAUGAAACUUUGACCUCCCUGUCUUCUGUAAAAUAAAAAUGUGGAUAACUCCAGAUAUUAUCCCUACUGCGCAUUAAAAAAAAGCACUUAUUUGGUGAUUAGAUUAAAACUUUUCCAUACUUCCAAGACAAGAAAACAUUUCAAUCAACUCAAAACAUCAGAAAACUCUUAAAUUAGUCAUGUUAUAGAUUCUUUGAUCAUCAU
rnacentral:rRNA from 1 species